rnacentral:rRNA from 1 species
UACGAGGGGGGCGAGCGUUGUUCGGAAUUAUUGGGCGUAAAGGGUGCGUAGGCGGUUCCGCAAGUCCUGUGUGAAAUCUUCGGGCUCAACUCGAAGUCUGCACGGGAAACUGCGGGGCUUGAGUGUGGGAGAGGUAAGCGGAAUUCCUGGUGUAGCGGUGAAAUGCGUAGAUAUCAGGAGGAACACCUGUGGUGUAGACAGCUUACUGGACCACUUCUGACGCUGAGACACGAAAGCGUGGGUAGCAAACAGG